AAAGAUUUAUUGUAACUGCAUGUUGAAUUUUUAAUUCAAAAGUAAUAUCUUUU
rnacentral:tRNA from 1 species